GCCAGUAGUCAUAUGCUUGUCUCAAAGAUUAAGCCAUGCAUGUCUAAGUAUAAGCAAUUUAUACAGUGAAACUGCGAAUGGCUCAUUAAAUCAGUUAUCGUUUAUUUGAUAGUUCCUUUACUACAUGGUAUAACUGUGGUAAUUCUAGAGCUAAUACAUGCUUAAAAUCUCGACCCUUUGGAAGAGAUGUAUUUAUUAGAUAAAAAAUCAAUGUCUUCGGACUCUUUGAUGAUUCAUAAUAACUUUUCGAAUCGCAUGGCCUUGUGCUGGCGAUGGUUCAUUCAAAUUUCUGCCCUAUCAACUUUCGAUGGUAGGAUAGUGGCCUACCAUGGUUUCAACGGGUAACGGGGAAUAAGGGUUCGAUUCCGGAGAGGGAGCCUGAGAAACGGCUACCACAUCCAAGGAAUGCAGCAGGCGCGCAAAUUACCCAAUCCUAAUUCAGGGAGGUAGUGACAAUAAAUAACGAUACAGGGCCCAUUCGGGUCUUGUAAUUGGAAUGAGUACAAUGUAAAUACCUUAACGAGGAACA
rnacentral:rRNA from 1 species